AUACUUACCUGGCAGGGGAGAUAACCGUGAUCACGAAGGUGGGUUUCCCAGGGCGAGGCUUAUCCAUUGCACUCCAGAUGUGCUGACCCCUGCGAUUUCUCCAAAUGUGGGAAACUUGACUGCAUAAUUUGUGGUAGUGGGGGACUGUGUUCGAGCUCUCCCCUG
rnacentral:snRNA from 1 species